rnacentral:rRNA from 1 species
AACGAACGCUGGCGGCAUGCCUAACACAUGCAAGUCGAACGAGCAGUUCUGUUAUUGGCGCACGCGUGAGUAUCGCGCGGGGACGCCUUCCCUUGUGGUCGACAUACCUGCCAGACUGGGGUUAUUACAGCAUAUAGGCUCUUGCACCCAAAGAUUUAUCGCCUUUGGAGGUGCCUGCGUGGGAUUAGGUAGUUGGUAGGGUAAAAGCCUACCAAGGCUGCGAUCCGUAGCUGGUCUGAGAGGACGAGCAGCCACACUGGGACUGAGACACGGCCCAGACUCCUACGGGAGGCAGCAGUGGGGAAUAUUGGACAAUGGGCGAAAGCCUGAUCCAGCAAUGCCGCGUGAGUGAUGAAGGUCUUAGGGUCGUAAAGCGCUUUUAACGGGGACGAUAAUGACGGUACCGGGAGAAUAAGCCACGGCUAACUACGUG